rnacentral:rRNA from 1 species
UGAGUAACGCGUGAGGAACCUGCCUUUCGGAGGGGGACAACAGUUGGAAACGACUGCUAAUACCGCAUGAUACAUCGAAGCCGCAUGGCUUUGAUGUCAAAGAUUUAUCGCCGAAAGAUGGCCUCGCGUCUGAUUAGCUUGUUGGUGAGGUAACGGCUCACCAAGGCGACGAUCAGUAGCCGGACUGAGAGGUUGGCCGGCCACAUUGGGACUGAGAUACGGCCCAGACUCCUACGGGAGGCAGCAG